UUUAUACAGUAUUUAAAAUAAAAGAUUCACCUACUGUAAAUAACUUUCUACAAAGGGUAAGAUGAGGACAACAGAUGGUGGUGAUUUCUUGAAAACAGGUCUUAACAAUAACUAAUGGCUACCUGUGGACAGAACGGUUUAAAAAAGGGCUGCACACUCUCUCUGCAUGUUUGGACGGGGUCUUGAGGAAGAGAACACACACAUAUGGUGUUGACCAUCACACUCUGCAGUGACAGACGGAGCAGACUCAUUACCGAACAAAACGACAGGCAGCGUGUCGGAGGGGAGGUUUCAGACAGAGGAGCAUGACUGCUGUACGGAGAGAAUACGCAGGAAAACAGAGAACGAUGGACAUCCCACCUGACCAGACUGGCUCUCCUGUACGGUUGACUCCACUGUGGUGGUCCUCUGCUCCGCCCUGGCGGGCUUCUGUCUCCUCUGCUCAGCUGUGUUGGUUCUCUGCUCCGCCCUGGUCAACUUCUGUCCCGUCUGCUCCGCCCUGGUGGGCUUCUAUCCCAUCUGCUCAGCGGUGGGGGCUCCUUGCUCCGCCCUGGUGGGCUCCAGUUCCGCCUGCUCCGCCCCGGUGGACUCCUGUUCCGUCGGCUCUGCCUUGGUCGCCAGCCAUUCCACUUCCACAUGGACCAGGCCCUCCAUCCCUCCCCCUGUUCCGCCUCCGCUCCACCGCCCUCCAAGACUGUAUAGAGCGUCUGGAAGCCGCUCCUUGUGGGGGGGCUAUGUCACGAUCUCUAGCUGGAGUGCCUGUGAGCUUCAGUAGAGGGCACUCCACUCAGGACUCAUUCAGAACUCCAUUUCCCAUCCUGCCUCACUCCUGGGACUGAUUGCACACACACCUGCACCUAAUUCCACACACACCUGCAGCUAAUACACACACACCCAUAUAAGCAGCACACUCACACCAUCACACUGCGAAGUCUUGUUCAGCCCGUCUAACAUUUCCGAGCGUUUUCCCUUUGUUUGUUCUUCCGUGUCUGACUUCUGGAUUGUGUAUUCUGACUCUGAUUCUCUGCUGCCUGCCCCGAUCUCUGCUUGUUUCUGGUUUCGAUUCUGGUUACCCCUGACAUACCUGACAACAUUCCUGAUUUCCACCUGUCUGACCACUCUGUUAAUAAAUACUGCAAUUGGAUCUGAACGUCUCUGACU
ensembl:lncRNA